ACAAGGUUUCCGUAGGUGAACCUGCGGAAGGAUCAUUAUCGAGUUUUGAAAGGGGUUGUAGCUGGCCUUUCGGGGCAUGUGCACGCCUCGCUCAUUUCCAACUCUUAACACCUGUGAACCAGCUGUAGGUCGGUUUGAAGUGGGUUCUCGCGAGCCCCUUCGUGCCUUCCUAUGUCUUUAACAAACUCUUGUUGUAUCAGAAUGUAUUCGCGCUUUAAUAAACGCAUCAAUAUAACUUUCAGCAACGGAUCUCUUGGCUCUCGCAUCGAUGAAGAACGCAGCGAAAUGCGAUAAGUAAUGUGAAUUGCAGAAUUCANGUGAAUCAUCGAAUCUUUGAACGCACCUUGCGCCCUUUGGUAUUCCGAAGGGCAUGCCCGUUUGAGUGUCAUUGUAUUCUCAAAUCCCCUCGCUUUUGUGAGGCUUGGAUUUGGAUUUGGAGGUUUUCUGCGGGCGAUUCGUCGUCCGCUCCUCUUGAAUGCAUUAGCUGGAACCUUUUGCUAGACCGGCUUCGGUGUGAUAAUUAUCUGCGCCGUGGCCGUGAAAGCGACUUUGUUGAGGAUCCGCUUCCAAUCGUCUUUUCGGAGACAAACUAAUCUGACAUCUGACCUCAAUCGGGCAGGACUACCCGC
rnacentral:rRNA from 1 species